UCCUUGUGAUGAUUUUUUUCUUGACUUUCGUUCUUCUGAGCAAUCUGAAGCAACCUACUUAAUCUGAGGGGA
rnacentral:snoRNA from 1 species